rnacentral:rRNA from 1 species
GGCGUGACGACGAGGCACUACGGUGCUGAAGCAACAAAUGCCCUGCUUCCAGGAAAAGCCUCUAAGCAUCAGGUAACAUCAAAUCGUACCCCAAACCGACACAGGUGGUCAGGUAGAGAAUACCAAGGCGCUUGAGAGAACUCGGGUGAAGGAACUAGGCAAAAUGGUGCCGUAACUUCGGGAGAAGGCACGCUGACACGUAGGUGAAGUGAUUUACUCAUGGAGCUGAAGUCAGUCGAAGAUACCAGCUGGCUGCAACUGUUUAUUAAAAACACAGCACUGUGCAAACACGAAAGUGGACGUAUACGGUGUGACGCCUGCCCGGUGCCGGAAGGUUAAUUGAUGGGGUCAGCGCAAGCGAAGCUCCUGAUCGAAGCCCCGGUAAACGGCGGCCGUAACUAUAACGGUCCUAAGGUAGCGAAAUUCCUUGUCGGGUAAGUUCCGACCUGCACGAAUGGCGUAAUGAUGGCCAGGCUGUCUCCACCCGAGACUCAGUGAAAUUGAACUCGCUGUGAAGAUGCAGUGUACCCGCGGCAAGACGGAAAGACCCCGUGAACCUUUACUAUAGCUUGACACUGAACAUUGAGCCUUGAUGUGUAGGAUAGGUGGGAGGCUUUGAAGUGUGGACGCCAGUCUGCAUGGAGCCGACCUUGAAAUACCACCCUUUAAUGUUUGAUGUUCUAACGUGGACCCGUUACCCGGGUUGCGGACAGUGUCUGGUGGGUAGUUUGACUGGGGCGGUCUCCUCCUAAAGAGUAACGGAGGAGCACGAAGGUUGGCUAAUCCUGGUCGGACAUCAGGAGGUUAGUGCAAUGGCAUAAGCCAGCUUGACUGCGAGCGUGACGGCGCGAGCAGGUGCGAAAGCAGGUCAUAGUGAUCCGGUGGUUCUGAAUGGAAGGGCCAUCGCUCAACGGAUAAAAGGUACUCCGGGGAUAACAGGCUGAUACCGCCCAAGAGUUCAUAUCGACGGCGGUGUUUGGCACCUCGAUGUCGGCUCAUCACAUCCUGGGGCUGAAGUAGGUCCCAAGGGUAUGGCUGUUCGCCAUUUAAAGUGGUACGCGAGCUGGGUUUAGAACGUCGUGAGACAGUUCGGUCCCUAUCUGCCGUGGGCGCUGGAGAACUGAGGGGGGCUGCUCCUAGUACGAGAGGACCGGAGUGGACGCAUCACUGGUGUUCGGGUUGUCAUGCCAAUGGCACUGCCCGGUAGCUAAAUGCGGAAGAGAUAAGUGCUGAAAGCAUCUAAGCACGAAACUUGCCCCGAGAUGAGUUCUCCCUGAGACUUAAAGUCUCCUGAAGGAACGUUGAAGACGACGACGUUGAUAGGCCGGGUGUGUAAGCGCAGCGAUGCGUUGAGCUAACCGGUACUAAUGAACCGUGAGGCUUAACCUU